GGAGCCGACGCGGCGGAGGGAGAGGCCGCAAGGCCCCGAGCAUCCAGGCGCGCUGCGGAACCUCGCCAGUCGCGGUGCCCGCCGCCCGCUGGGGGAAAGCCCCGCGUUCGCUCGCACCAGGUCGGGAGGUGCGGCGGGAACGCAGGAACGGAGCCACGCCAGCGGAACGGCAGCAGCGAGGUAGACAAGUGGCGUUGCUGGAACGAUCGCAGAGAAGCAACAUGCGCAACGGAAGGAAAAUUACAGGAGAGUGCUGAAUUGAGAUCACGGGCACUUGGGAGGACAGAGUAAGAGACACCACAGAAGAAGCCAUCUUCCCUCCAGUUGCCUCUUCCAGGGAAAUCAAGACAACAGCUAUUACAUGCUGCAAACAGGGUAGUUAAGUGUAAAAAGCGUUUCAGGGUUCCACAGCUCGGAGUUUCACCCAAAACCGGACGCAAAACAAAACUCAACUAGCCGAUACCGACGUUUGCGUUAUCACACCAGAAGAAUAAAGGCUGUUACUUGUAGUUUCCAGGUAAUUUUAGUGUUGCCAGAUACCUUCUCAAAGCUGAGAGAUCAAGGAUUCCUUUGUUAACUAUACAAACAAGGCUGAACAGCGCAUGUGUUGGAAUAUCCUUAGUGCAGGGUGGGAAAUGUGCAUAAAUGUGUAUACUUAAGCAUACUGGAGUACCAGAAACGGUUCUAUUUUAACAGCUCACCAAGGAAUACUUUAAAAGAAUCUUCCUGCUCAAUCAACCCAGAGCUUAUUACUGGGUCCCUGGGAGCCUGUAUGUAUAUUUUCAGUCAUGGAUUGAGUAGGCCUUGUACAGAGAUCUCUGAAUCCCACUGACAUAACCAUUACACUAGUUGGUUUUUAAUGAAAAAAAAAAAAAUCUAGAGGUCUACCAUGGUUCUUCAACUAACAAAAAAAAAAAACAAAAACAAAAACAAAAAAAAAAAAAAACAACAAAAAACAAAAAAAAAAAAAACCACAAAACAAAAAACACACCACAAAAAACCCCCAAAGAACUCCAACCACUAAAAACCAAAAAAACCAAAUCCAAAAAACCCAAACAAACAAAACAAAACCCAAAGGAAAGCACUACGGCAAAGUCUCAUUAGUUGCCGGUGUUUGCUGAAGAGCCUUUAUGAAAAGGAAUGAGACCAAGGAAAGAGUCAUAACAAAAACAAAGAGCUGUUUGGGAAGAAUUUUCUCAUGAAUGCAUGAAAUUCAGUAUAAUGAGCAAUGAUGACAAAUACAAAACACUGACAACUUUCCAUUACAUGCAAGAGAUGAAAACAAAAAUGUCUCUACAGACAGUGACAAAGAACAUUUUGUCAUAGUCUGCUUUUGGAUAUGAAUGGCCACAAAAUGCUUGCAGUAAGGGACUGCACAAUUUAGACCACUGAUGGCAUAACUGACCUACUAACAGGAUAAAAGGAAUCUGCUUUCACAAGUCCAAAUAACACGCAAAACCUUCAACAAAAUUACUACAUUUCUAACUGCAUCAGUUUCCUAACGGUGACCAACACAGCAACAGGUCUGUUACUUGAGUAAUGUGUUCAUGCUUGGGUGAGUGGAAGAUGCAAACAGAAGAGGGAAAAUGCAGAGAUCUGGUAAAUUCAAGUUACUGCUUAGCAUCUAACUUCACUGCUCCAAUCUGAUUCCACAUCCUCAGGUUUUACAAAAGGCUGUCCAAGAAUCUUUCACAGAAAUGACACAUGGAACAUAACUUUAGAUGUAUUAGCAGAUAAAUUAGCCCAUAUUCACAGGAUAGCUGCAAGAGUGUGAGGCAGCAAAAGCCUGUGACUGGACUUUGCACCUAAUAACCAAAUUGAAAAACUGCUAGAAUGCCACAUGUCAGUGAACAGAACUGCUGCUGCCAUCACAACCUCCAAGGUCAGAAACCACAGAACUUUUACCCCAUCCAUAUCUCCAGUGGAGAGGGCAUCUCUGGACCUGUUAGGAAGAUAGAGAUGGGAAGCACAGUACAAGAGAUGUUUUUUAUGACAAGACAAAUCCGCUACCCAAACUACCUUGAAGGAUUAAGAAUUAGCAGCCAGCUUGGUGUGCUCCCAGCACAUACUUGGGAUGCCAGGCUAAACCACAUGAGCCUUCUGGUCAAACACAGCAGGUCAAAAUUAGCAGGCAGCCUACACUACCAGGGGCAGAAGCUGAGACAACCUCAAGGCAGGAAGAUCAGUGUACAGGUGCUGAACAGAACAGUUUGACCUCCUAAGUGAGUGGCUCAAUUGCACUUGCUCAACUAACUGCCAAGCACCAUCAUCUUGUCCCUUCAUUUUUGGUAUAAUUUAUGCAGCUGUUAUUGUCUCUCUAUAAAAAUAUAGACAGAGGUUAAUAUAAAAAUAUACAUUAAAAAUGACAGUUUUUUUUUUUUAAAAAGACUGAGACAAAGACAACCAGUAUUCCUUCUCAUAGGAUUACUGAGUUGAACUUUGUGGGUUUUUGUUUCUUUUAUAUUUUUUUUUUUAAUAAUAAGCAUUAUUCAUUUGCAACCUCUUAAUUUACAGAAACAUUUCCACAUUUGUAUCAUCACAGCUGGAGAGGUACAGUGUUAGAUGUCAGAGUGAGAGUUGAUCCUACUUCUGCUUUCCUUUAUAAUCCCAUGAAAAUUCAUGUAGAAAUUUAUAGCAAACUUUCACUGAAUUGGUAUGAGAGAAUUAACAUUGUAGAUUCUGACAUCCUUGGGUGACAUUCUGGAGAGUGACCAUAUACUAUGUACUUUGAUGAGGACAGCCAUUCUGCAAAUCUCCACCCUCCUUUCUUUCACAUACAUGUAAUUACUGAUACACAAAAAAUUCUAGCAACAAAAUCGGCAAACUGAUAAGACCUUUAAGAUCAUCGAAUCCAACCACACACCUAACACUGCCACGUCCACCACUAAACCAUAUCCCUGACUUAAAUAAGCCAUUAGCUUUCAGAGGAGUUUUCCUUUAGGCAAUAAAGAAACAAACAUAAGUGUACUUGGUCAAAUAAACAUCUCUUCAAAACAAA